AUUUGUGUAUAGAUGUUGCAACUAUACAGAGCUUUAGCAAUAGCCUGUAACUAUGGUCAUGCUAAUAAAGCUAUUGAAUUGAGAGAGAGAGAGAGAAAGAGAAGUGACAACAUGUGAAGAGGGACAAAGUAAUGACAGGAGAGUAGUGUGCAUUAGACAUGCUCAAGAACAAUUAUAGAGAAGACAUUCAAGGAGAGAGAGACAAAACACAGAUUCAACGGCUGCCAUGUUGUGUCCUUUCUGUGGCCAGCAUCUGGGGACAGUUCAAGUGUUCUGUGGCUCCUGUGGCAAACAUGUACCGUUUUUGACAGAAGUUGAACACAACAGCAUUCCAUAAGGAGGGUCAGGAACUCACGCUUGGGACCACCAGUGUCCCCUCCAUCCUCAGUGUGUCCCUCAUCAUCAGUGAACUUAACUGACAUCUCAUGAGAGGGAUCGAAUGAGGCACCUUUGAAGCCGCGGAUUGCUCCAUCCCACACAUUGGCUCUAUUCAUAUUGAACCGGCUGCAAGAUGUAUUUGUUCUUUUUGCAGAGAGUUUUGCAACAAUGUGUGCCGCAGUCAGGUAAUCUGUGCUGGGAAAGACAAAGU